GGAAGUAAAAGCGUAACAAGGUUUCCGUAGGUGAACCUGCGGAAGGAUCAUUAUUGUAUAACCGAGGUGCGAGGGCUGUCGCUGACUCGAAAGGUCGUGCACGCCCGAGUGCCCUCACACACAUCCAUCUCACCCCUAUGUGCACCACCGCGUGGGUCCCCCUUUGGCUUGUUCGGAGGGGGGCUUACGUUUUCACACAAACUUUGUAUGCAGUGUAGAAUGUAUUUUUUGUUUUUGCGAUCACGCAAUCAAUACAACUUUCAACAACGGAUCCCUUGGCUCUC
rnacentral:misc_RNA from 1 species